UUGAUAGCAAGGAUGCUUUAUUAUUAUUAUUAUUAUUAUUAUUAUUAUUACGCUGCUAAACAGGGAGAGAGUGGGGUUUGGGCAGAGGAUUUGUGUCAGAAAAUAGCAACAUAAUUUUUUUUUAAUAAAAAUGAAGCCUAUCACCACUGAGGAAGAAGAGGAGAAACAACUUUCACCUCGGCGGUUAGGACGCGCGGCUUCGUGAAGCUACAGGAGGAAUGCAAGUGCUCUUUUCCUGGGCUAAGCAAGAUUUUGACAUCAGCGCCGAAAGCGAAGGGAAAACUGAUCGAUGCUCUGCUUCGUCCCCUCCCAGACAAACGAAGCGUCUCCCUUGCCUUGGCUUCGUCCAAGCCUCCAGUCCCAUCCUUGGCAGGAAGUUGCCGUGGGGGGAAAAGGGAGGGAGAAAAAGAAAAGAAAAGAAAAGAAAAGGAGAGACUUACUUUCGAGUAAACUUGGAGAGGUUUGGGAGACGCACGUGUGAGAUUUGCAGCACGAGGCUGGGCAUGUUGACACAGAAGGAUGCCCAGCACGGGUUUCAAGGGGGCUGACGCUCAAAUGCAGUUUAAAAGGAGUUUCACUUUUUGGCUUGUUCAUUUGGAAGGAGACAGCCCCCGGCAUAUAACGCUUGGUACACAUGGAAUCUCAAGAAUACAGCAUGUCCUGGAGGAAGAGGAGGAUUGGUCUGCUUAAAAUUCAUAAUCCUUACAAAGUGGCUGCCCCAUUCAUGAAGUGCUCCUUCUUUUUCGGGGGAGUAAACACAAUCACAGUGAAGAGAAAGACAUUUAUUCACGGAGUAGUAAUGCUUCUAAACCACACAAAUGCAGGGCCAGCGUUUUAUAAUUUAGUAUUAUUUUUGCAUUGAUUUGUAUAUGAAAUAGGUGGAGUUUCAUUGUGCAUUUCCCAGGCUUGUUUCACCCUCCAAUCUGUGAGCUCAGAGGCUUGCAUUUGAGAGCUGUGAAUAUGUGCUGUGUAGUUCACUGGGCAUACUUGGGUCACCUCCAAGGCAAAGAAAUGGUAGCUGAGGGUUGGUUUCUGUGUUGCACUCUUACCCCUCCUUUAAUUUUGCUGCAAGUACACUUCUCAGACAGGCAGUGGAUGCAUGUCUGGUGCAGACACACUUCACACCUGAGUAUGUGCCUGUUCUUGGCCUAUGAGGAGAAGGGGAACUCCAGGCUACCUUCCUAGAACAGGGAGAUUUCAGUAAUUCAGUAGCUUAAGCCAAGUCAAAUUUCUUUCUGGAAGGCAUUGUAAGAAGAAUUGCACAGUGUGUGUUACCUCUAUAGUGGCCAGCUGGAACUUUGUAGGACUGUUGUUUUUUUGUACAGACACCUGAUAUUUUCAUAAUAGGUAGCUUUUUUUUUUUUGAAAAGAUGAUCAGCUGGUGCUUGAGUUCUGCAGCCACGUUUUAGCUGAAGUGUAAGCAUCUUGUACUGACACUCACAUUGCAGAACUAUAAAAUGCAAAAGGAUCAGAUAUUUCCACAAGAGGAAAUAUACCACAACAUGUUGUGACACUUUUUUCAGCACCUAACAGGAAUGUUCUUCUUUAGGGUUACUGCCAGCCACCUGGAGAUGUCGUUUUCUAAUUCUUAGGGGCUCAAGGAAGCCAAUUUACUCUCCCUCUGUAGUUUUCUAUCACUUUCUUUUCCUGGGUUCUGUUAAGACUGAGCAUGUUCCGUUUGGGAUUGUUUUGUUACUUUUCUUUUUUAUACUCCUGCAAACCUUGAGGUUUCCUUUGAGCAUUCUGAGCGCACCGAGUUCCUUGUUAGAGGGAACAAUUGUGCCUGAUUAACAUAACAUGCAUAUCAUUUUAAAAAACAUGGCAGAUACAUUUGGAGGAUAUUGUUUGCUCUAUGCUAUGCUAUCCCCUCCCCCGAAAAAGUUCUUAUGCACAGACUUGGAAACGGCAACAUAUGAUGAAUUCCUGUAUCAUUCCCAUGUCAAAACAGCACUAUGAAUCACUGCUUCGUCCAUAUGAUAUUCAGGUCACUCCGGUUUCAGUUCUAGGAUUGGGCUAUGUAUCCUGAUAUAUAAUAAAUGUUUAAAAUUUU